rfam:Glarea lozoyensis 74030 mitochondrion, complete genome.
AGGAAACUUCCGUAAUUGGUAAGACGGGUUGAGCUGUAAACUCAAUAGUAAUAUACUUUUAGGAGUUCGAAUCUCUUGUUUCCUA